AUAGAAACUGAUAUAAAAAAAUCUCAUAAUUCUCUCUCGCCGGAGCUCCGGCUACCACCAUAACCGUACAACCUCCCUCUCUCCACCACUUCCACUUACUAACCGUCAAAAUUUCAUCAUCAUCAUCAACAUCAUCUUAUUCACACACCUGCAAUUUCCGAUCUAUUAUCAAAACCCUAACGAAACUCACGGCGGCUGAACUUCCUCCGACAGAAACUGAAGCUAGGGAUGCGAAAGUGAAGAAGACAAAGAAAGCUUCUGCUGCACAAAACACUAAAAACCUGUUGUUCAUCCUCCGUACUCCGAGUUUAUUUAGUUAUAGAUCAACAAAAAUGUUGCCUAAUAGAGAUUGGAUGUACACGAAGAGAACCACUAGUAAUGAUUUUUUUAAUCCGACAUUUCAACUAUAUGUCAAUGAUUUCUUGGAUUUCGCAUUCACCAACGCACCUAACAUUCAAAAAGAGCUUAUAUAAGGGGUUGAGGUUUUUAAAAUUAGAUGCCCAUGCGCCAAAUGCCAAAAUCUUCGUUUCAAGAGCAGAGAUGUGGUUGAGGUUCACUUAUAUGUAAAAGGAUUCGUGGAAGAUUAUAAGGUAUGGUAUGUGCAUGGCGAGUCAUUUCAUACACAAGACAUGGGUUGAUGUUCAAACCCAGUAUCGUCUCAACAUGUGGGUAGAGACAAUGAUGAAGAUGUUGGUGAAUAUACCGAAUACGAGGAGAUGGUUAUGGAAAGCAUGCAACAAGACCCAAAUGAAAAUGCCAAGGCAUUUUAUACCAUGUUAAGUCAAGCCAAUCAGCCUUUGUGACUCGGUUCUGAAAACGCUAGCAUACUCUCAACCGCUACAAGGUUGUUGAACUGAAACUCAGAUUGUAAUGUCUCCGACUCUACAUUUGAUAAACUACUACUGAUCAUUAAAGAUAUUCUGCCCGACAGUGCUAAGCUACCUAGAAAAUUUUAUGAGACCAAGAAGAUGUUGAAGCUACUAGAGUUGCCGUAACAACGGAUUCGUGUAUGCGAAAACCAUUGCAUGCUAUUCAAUGGAGAUAAUUCUGAUAUGGAAAAAGGUGCCUAAGUUGGCGAUGCCCUACAUGCUUGUUGUACCAAGACUUUAAAGACUAUUCUAUUCAAAGAAAACGGCCCAACAUAUGACUUGGCACGCAUAUCAUCAUAGGAAACCCGGAAAAAUGUGUCAUCUUAGUAAAGGUAAGGCGUGGAACAAUGUUGACUCGGUGUUUCCCGAUUUUGCACAAGAAAAACGCAAUAUUCAUCUUGGGUUGUGUACUGGCGGGUUCAAUCCAAAUAAUACAACGGGGAAAGAUUAUUCAUGUUGGCCGGUGUUUAUUACGGUUUACAUCCUACCUCCUUGGUUGGCCUUGAAAGAGCGAUACAUACAACUUCGGUGCUCAUUCCCGGGCCAAAGAAUCCCGUACACAAUUUGGACGUUUUUCUACAACCUUUAGUACAUGAGCAAAAACAAUUAUUCAUAACUGGCAUUGUAACUUAUGAUGCCCAUCAAAGGGACAAUUUCCAAAUGAAGGCCGUACUAAUAUGGAAAAUUAGUGACUUCCCUGCUUAUGUGAUGUUAUCCGGAUGGAACACACACGGUAAGUUAUCCUGCCCAUAUUGCUCGAAUAAAUCAGGGUCAUUCCAAAUGUCGUUUGGAAGUAAAGCAUGUUGGUUUGACUAUCAUAGACAACAUCUCCCACCCAAACAUUGUUUUCGAAAAGAUAGAGUUAACUUUCGGAAAAACAUCAUGGUGUUGAGGGAAACACAAAUUCCGGAGCCAACUGGAGAGGAAAUAUAGGAGACCAUCAAAGAUUUCCCCACAGUUUACGAAGGUACCCCUCCUAUCCUAAGGAAAAUAGUAAACUGGAUGGUUUUGGAAAGACACAUAAUUGGGUAAAAAGAAGCAAAUUUUGGGAUCUUCCGUAUUGGCGUAAACUGUUGAUGCGGCACAACCUUGACGUGAUGCAUAUUGAGAAGAAUGUUUUCGACAAUCUAUUUCACACUAUUUUGGGCACCGACAGAUCCAAAGACAAUAUGAAGGCAAGGCAAGACAUUGAGCUUCUUUGUGACCGACCUCUUUUAAACCCCAUCCAUGAUAAUAAUGGGAAGAUGACCAAAGUUAAGGGAAAUUACACUUUGCAAAAAAAAUAAUAUAAUAAUAUAAUAUAUAUACUUAUUUGAUUAUUACAAAAUAUUGUAGGUUUGUGAAUGUGUAUGGUGAUGUUCAUAAGAGUAUCUCUCGUAGAGUAUCUCUCGUAUACUGCGUGAGCAUCGUGAUGCAGCUUGGCUAACGUUCAAACAGGUUCCUCGAGAUGAAGUGGCCCGUAUGUAUGAUCAAUUUAGGGCUUGGAACACAAAAGCAUGGCUUAGUAAGCCAAAGUGUGGGUCAUUAAAUUGCAACAACGCCAAUAUCAAUGGAAGGUCAUCUCGACACACCGGUGGAUCUAUGAAAACUGGAUUUAUGUAGAGAAGGACAUAUGGUCGGGAACCUACAUUUAAAGAACUCUUCCUACAAACCCACCUCACCAAAGAAUGUAAAUAAAAGUUAAGGAUAGGUGAGAUUAGCAUAUAUGACAUGAAUGAUUUGAAGUUUUGGACAAACCAAUCCGAAGAAGUAUAUGGGGGGCCUGCUUGGAGGCGUUGCAUGAUAUUCACGGGUCGGACCUCACUGAUAGUCCUGAUGACCCUGAGGUGUGGACUCGUGUGCAGGCAGGAGGUCAUAGGACACCCGGGUAUUUGGGGUAGGAUCUUCAGAUCUGCAUUACAUGGUGAGUUGGACAUCAUCAUCUUCUAAUGGGUGUGCACCAUCAUCUGUUGAGUACCAACGAUCCAUAGAAGAGGUAUCAUGUUCAAUUUCAAGAUAUUUGUUAUGUUGAUCUAAUUGCUCUGGUGACAAGUAUAGGUUUAGCUUGAUAUUGAUGAAGCCACAAUUAAGUUAGGAAUUUAGAAUGUAUAAUGGGACCUGGUGUUUAGUUUGAACUUCCACAGGUUGGUAUGGUUAUGGUCUGGUUGAGUGGCUUAGUGGCUUGGGGUUAGGGCAUGGUUUGUCUGGUUGGGCUUGUUUGGUUAGUGGAUUUGGUACCAUGUUUAGAUGGUGGCUAUUUGGGUUGGUUAGCAGGUUUAGAUUUUUGUUAUUCAUCUCUUAUAUCAAAAAUUGUGCUAAAAUAAGAUGGUUUUAGUAAUUAACUAAAAGUAAAUUCAAAGUACAAUAUAUACCGAUGUUUACUGAUAUUAGUAUGCUUAGUAAACUUGUGAAAUUGGUCAGAUAUUCGGUCAUUGAUGUAUUGUUUAUUAUUUAAUACCUUUGAACAAAUUUUUAGGCUCAAGCAAUGCGAGUAAAUGACGCAAGACAAAGAGAAAAACGUUAAACUAAAAAUUCGGUUUUAGUCAAAAGCAACGUUUUAACAAAAAUAAGUAGUAUGAGAUGGUUUAGGUAAUCAUAAACUCACAUAAGGCCGAAGGUGGCAAUUAGAUAUACCCGAGUGACGAGGUAUGAAGUGACGGUGACUAAUCAGUCUAGCCGGUAAAACCGUUCAAAGUCAAAAUAAUGUUAUGACUUAUACAAAGUGCUCGUCAAUAUAAGAUUAGUGUGGAGUAAACAUGUUGAUGGACUAAUACUACCGAGUGGUCAAAUGACAACUUGGUCAAAUAGGCAAUAAAGAUAAGAAAUAUAAGAUGAAAGUUACGGUCCGUGAGGACUUACACAUGAAAGAUGCACACGUUAAUACAAAGGAUAACUUUUGACUGAAAAGAAUGAAUGCCUUGAAAAUGAAACUAAGUUCGUUUGGUCUUAACCAAUGAACCAUAUAAAGAAGGUUUCGGGGACGAAAUCUCUUUAAGGGGGUAGACUUGUAACACCCCAAAAACGGGUUUGAUAAUCAAACCACGUUAAUAUUAGUGAACGGGUAAAAUACCAUUAGUGGUAAAAAUUAACCCGGUAAAUAUUAGGAUUUAAAUAAAUAAACCUAAUAUUAAAUAAAAAGAGAAUAAAAGCUUUUGAGGAAAUAAGGUUCAUAAGAGCCUGAGUUAGCGGGACUUAAAAAAAUGGGUCAUAACCUCCCCGAACCCACUAAAUUAACUAGGAAUGUUUAACCUAGUUAAUUAGAGGAAAUAUUGCUAAAAUAAGUAAGUUGAAACCUACUUGAUAACUAGCCAAAAUAUGAGGGACUAAAGAGGGAGAUCGACCAGGAGCAAGAAAACAAGGGUGUAAACCCUAGUUCAACAAAUCUUCAAAUUGAAGGAGGAAUCGAAGACCAAAUUCUGAUUUGAAUGUAUAUAAAUGAUCACCUAGUCAUGGGGAUCAUAAGGUAUGUCAUAAAACAUAGAUUGGUUAAAUUUGAAAUUUGAGACAAGUAUGUUACUUGCAAAUAGAUUGUUGGAUUAUGAUCCAAAGUUGAAAUUGAAUGUUUAUGUAUGUUUAAUUUCGUUAGUUAUGAUGAAAAUAUGAAGAACUUGAUGUAAUGGUACUUGUAAGUGAUUAACAAGUAAACUAGGAAGUGGGUUUUGACUAAAUAGUGAAGAUGAUGAUAUACAUGUGCUUAAAAUCAUCAUAAUUGAUAGUUGAAGCAAGAUACUUGAACAAUUCAUAGGCUCGAGUGAAUGCUCAUACAUGACUUGAAGUGGGUUUUGUAUGCUAUGAUGAAAUUUGGUAAUUAUGUUCAUGUAAAUAGGUGUAUGAAGUCAUGUUAUCUACUAGUUGGUAUGUAGAACUUGAUUAUAUUAGGUGUUCGGAUGAAUGCUAGUGAUAUGAUGUAACGGGUUUCACUUAUAGAUGAGAACCCUUAGUUUUUGCGAAAUGGAUGAAUAAGUUAGCUUUGAUAAUCACUUGAACUAGUUGAGGUGUUGGAAAUAUAAUGAACUUGGUUAAAAGAUUAGUUAAAAAUGGUGGCUUAAAAUAACGCCUACUGGGUAAUUGGGGAACGCCUAAAUUAGUUGAUGAACUUGAUUGUGCAUUUCAUAUACUAACGGGCAUUUAACUUUUAAAAAGUCAAACUGACCUAUAAUACGAUGAAUGAUAAUUUUGAUAUAAAGUGCGUAAGGUGGAAUAAUCGUAUUAACUUAUGAUUAAUCUAACCGCCUUGUGAAUGAUGAAUGAUAGUUUGACGCUUAACAAGCUAGGUGGAAGCUUAGGGAGGAAACGGGUCAAACGAAUCAAGUAUGAAAAGAGAAGCGUAGUUUGGAUGCGAGGUAAGUAAAGCUUACACCCCCUUUCUAUAAAAUGUCUAAUUAUUAUAAGGGUUAUGAAUAUGUUAAGCUAAUGGUUAAAAUGUGGUGUUUCGACGUAAUUGAUACAGGUCGGAAUAAGUAAAAAUGAUGAAAAACCAUGAUGGAUGGUAAAAAGGGGUAAAUGGUAAUAUAGUCAUGGAAUGAAAAACAUACAAUGAGUUUUGAAAUGUUGCCUUAUGGGGUAACUCAUAAUAAGGAUAGGGGUAAAAUGGUAAUUUAGUCGUGUGUUGACAAACAUAAGUUAAAGUUAAAAGAUACCCUACAGCGUAAGCCGAAAUCGGUUAAAUAAUGAAAUGGUAAAUAUAUACCACUCAAAUACAAGUGCAAAAUGUUUGGUCGUUUAGACCUAACGGGUCAAAUGGUGAUUUUUAGCACCAUUUGACAAAAUAACGACUAAUAAGUAUUUUUCGAGUCUAUUGCUCAAAUGAUUAAACGGCUUAUGGAAUUUGCAUUGCUAUAAAUUAGCAAAUCAUUAAGGAAAUGUAUUAAAACGGGUCAAAGUUGACCCGAGCCCGGUACACAUAUAUAAAAUUAUAGUUAAACGUGCAAUUUUGGUCAAAUAUUUAGUGAAAGUCCUUCGUCGUAAAAUGAGAGACUAAAGUUGACAAAAAUGCCCUUGAUGGGUAAAUCGGGCAAACGGGACCCUUAUGUGUUGUUUAGGAAUAUGUAUUAUGAUCAUGUAAUCCUUAGAAAAGUAUAAAAGUUAUAGGCAUAAACCCUUUGUGAGUCAAAUGCCUAAGAAUGAGUCCUUUCCGUAAAAUGACAAACCGAGAGGUAAAAUUCGAAAUAAAUAGUUUACCACAUUAAAUCCACCACAAAUAUAAUUGUCGUGGAAGACAAUUGAUAUGAAAAUGUGGAAAUAUGAUGCAAGUAAGGCAUGAGCGUGAUUUAUGCUUAAAAAUUCCUUAAAUUCCCUUAAUGGAUCAAAAUAAGUAUAUAAGUAAAAACAGGAUUAAGAAUGCAUAAAAACCCAUAAUUUGAACCUUGUAUGAUAACAUUUAAAAUAUGAUGUUCAUGAGAAUUUAGAAGUAAAAAACAUGUUUGUUUGAUAAAAAUCAUGAACGGGUCAAAAGCUUUGUCAAAAAGUUUAAUAAAUAAAUUUAAGCUGAUGGCUUAAAACCUAGAAAGUUGUUAAUCCGACGUCGGAUUUUAACUCCAUGUGAUGGAGAAUCAAUUUACGAUCACGUAGGAAGAAACGGAUCGUAAAACGGAUCACUAUUGAGCGACUUAUGUCAGUUUUCAUAAAAACUAGUAUUGCUGGAAAUAUGCAGGUUUCAAAACAGAACUAGCUGGAAAAGAGUACUCCUCGCGCCAUGCGACAAAGGAGAAAAUCCUGGCACGACACGCGACAGGUGUCGGGCACGCAAAAAUGAUAUCAAUUCCCGUCGCGUCACACGACGGGUGUUAAAAUCAGCAAAAGUUGUCGAUGUUUGUGAAUUGCUUGUUUUGACGCAUGAACUUGUUCGGGCAUGUUUUUAAACGCCAAAUGACUAAAUCAUUUCAUGUUUUAUGAAAUGUAGGAAUAUUGUACGGUACCGGAGGACAAUCAAGCUCGAUAAAGAACCAAACACGAUUAAGAAUUCAAGCUUCCGCAUUAGAUUUCGUCGGCAUGUUUUAAAUGGCGAAAUUAUAUACAAGAUGUUGGAAUGUUUUAUGUCUUAAAAUUUUUUAACAAACUCGUAUUUUCACCUGGAGGUUUAAUCGUAAAUACACUAUUUUAAUCGAAAUCUAUAUGAAAAUCGUAUAAUUUAA